rnacentral:rRNA from 1 species
UAAGGAAUAUUGCUCAAUGGGAGAAAUCCUGAAGCAGCAACGCCGCGUGGAGGAUGAAGGGUCUAUGACUUGUAAACUCCUGUAAAGAAGGAAAAAAUUCCCAUUUGAUGGGAGAUGAUGGUACUUCUGGAGUAAGCCCCGGCUAACUACGUGCCAGCAGCCGCGGUAAUACGUAGGGGGCAAGCGUUGUCCGGAUUUACUGGGUGUAAAGGGUGCUCAGGCGGAUUUGUAAGUCAGAGGUGAAAUCUUACAGCUUAACUGUGAAACUGCCUUUGAUACUGCAAGCCUAGAGUAUGGAAGAGAGUGAUGGAAUGUCUGGUGUAGCAGUGAAAUGCGUAGAUAUCAGAUGGAACACCAAUGGCGAAGGCAGUCACUUGGUCCAUUACUGACGCUAAAGCACGAAAGCGUGGGUAGCAAACA